rnacentral:lncRNA from 1 species
UAUACAAAAAAUGAGAGGUAUAGCUCCAAUCUGUGACCGGUGAGUAGCACCCCCGCUAAGCCUAAUCGCAAAGAUUUAUACCUCCCUAUUCUACGUUAAGACGUAUUGGGUAUCUGAUUUACUCGAUUCUUCUUUCAAGAUUUAAUGCUCACUCUAUCUUUUAUCUUUGGAGCCAGGGAAAAUGCAAAAAACGAACCAAGACAUCCAGGCAAGGGCGAAGUAACUAUGGAAGGGGGAUCAUAAGAAGCGGAGCCAUAUCUUUUGGGCGCAACAACCAAA